AGGCUGCAACCCGCCUGCAUGAAGUCGGAAUUGCUAGUAAUCGCGGAUCAGCAUGCCGCGGUGAAUACGUUCCCGGGCCUUGUACACACCGCCCGUCACACCAUGGGAGCCGGUAAUACCCGAAGUCAGUAGUCCAACCUCGUGAGGACGCUGCCGAAGGUAGGAUUGGCGACUGGGGUGAAGUCGUAACAAGGUACC
rnacentral:rRNA from 1 species